rnacentral:lncRNA from 1 species
AUGAGGACAAGGCCAGGAGGCCACAGCAAGACUGUAAUCAGAACCCACAAGGAUUGCGUGGAGAUGCUGCAGUGCCGCCACCACCCAACAGCCGGAGCCCCCAGCACAGGCACUGGGGCUCCUUCCCUCCUCUCUACCUCGUCCCAGCUCUGGCUCCCAUUUCUCCAUCAUGCGGCUGGGGUAGCAUUGCCAACUGGCAUCCACAGGCUGGAGGAUGAUUCACGCUGGCUGUCAUGCUAUCAGCCUUCCCCACACCGCACAACACAUAGAGGAUGAAAAUGAGUCCCUGCAAGAACCCUACAUUUCUAUGUCAGAGAAAGACAGUCAGCCAAGAAUACUGCUAAGAUGUCCAAUGCAG